GUCCCCGUAGCUCAGAUGGAUAGAGCGCGCGCCUCCUAAGCGCGAGGCCGGCAGUUCAAUUCUGCCCGGGGACGCCA
rnacentral:tRNA from 4 species